UUACCUUUAAUUUAAUUGGUUAAAAUAUUAAUCUACGGAAUUAAAUAUAUUGGUUCAAUUCCAAUAAGGUAAU
rnacentral:tRNA from 2 species